GGCAGGAACCUUCCAGGCUCGCUCUCCAAAAAGCCUGGAGGAACAGACACAGGCUGCUUUUUUCAGAAGUUUAGCAAUCACAGGAAGAGUAGGAGAGAGAUAGGGGCCUUGCGUAAAAGAAAGCCCAGCCAAGGAAAAUGUAUUUUUAGAGGAGAAGGAGACUUCUGAGCCUGAUUGCAGCCUUGACAGGAGAGGACUAAGGGAGAAGGACAGAGGAAAGCUACGAGGGGAGGUGGCAGGUGGUGGGACGUCCCCGGGCCCCACCACAGGGCUGUCAUGUGUCCCAUCCUGAAGACAGACCCGACUUUUAAAGGCCAUGAGAUUCCGAAACAAGACUGUGUCUGCUGAGCCGACCUGCAGGCAGCCACCGGCUGGAGAAGGGGGCAUCUGAAACGUCAGACCGUCACUAUCCCGAAAGACAAAGACGAGAAGUUCAGCCACAGAUAAAAUCCGAGAUCCUUUCCGGACGGGUUGGUUAUCUAAUGUGAUACACGCAAGCAAAAGGUUUCUAACCAGCUCUUUCCCCCAAAUUUCGAACUCCUGCUAGAAGAAACAAAGCAAAGCAAAACACACAGCUCCCAGGGAAAGCUACAAUGAUAAUGCUGAGGCAGGGUAGGUGGCACCCUGGCCUCCCAGCUGGAGCUCACCGUUGGUCCCAGAAUCCUGUAGAGGCCACACCCUCCUUCCCUCAUCUGGAACAUCUGCAACUUGCUUGAAAUAAAUGGAUCUGGAUGCCCAGUGGCUGAACCAGGCCCUGGACCUCUGCCUGCCUCAUCUUCCUUCUGGAAAGCUCACUGGCAGACUCCGAGUGAAGCCCCUCCAAAGCAGUGCACAGUUAAGCUGCAAUCACCAGCUCCGGACACCAGGAGAUGCAGGAAGCUGGAUGAACUCCCAUUGCAUCUUUUAUUAACUAUCUUUUAUUUUUCAUACUAGUGAUCAAACCCAGAGCCUCCACCCUAGCCCUUUUCAGUUUUAGAUAAGCUGUCACUAAACUCUGCCUUACCCAAGCUGAACUCAAACUUGUGAUCCUCCUGUCUCAGCCUCCCACAGUGCCAGGACUUCAGGCAGCCUUUCUUAACCAUUUCAUGUCAUGGGAGUGUUUGGUACAACUCUCAAGUACAUCAUUUUUCCACGCUGGCUUCCACUUAAAACAAAAAAAAAAAAUUAACCGGUAUCCUAUUUGCCUCCAAACCAUUUCUCUUUUCAUUUAGAAAUUAGUUUCCUUAUCCCAGAAAAACAUUAUUCGGGCCUAAUGAGUUGUGUAUUUGCUUUUCCAAGCUCUGUUACAACUACCGUGACCAGGGAGUGAAUGGACCUUGGCAAUGGCCUGGCUGUGACGGCCCCUGACCUUCCCGCCUGCCCACCACCCUGGGCGACGACCAGCCAGCCCCACAUAACACUCUCCCCACCUCUUGCUUCCUU